UAGGCUGCAACUCGCCUACAUGAAGUCGGAAUCGCUAGUAAUCGCGGAUCAGCAUGCCGCGGUGAAUACGUUCCCGGGCCUUGUACACACCGCCCAUCACACCAUGAGAGUUUGUAACACCCAAAGCCGGUGGGGUAACCUUUUGGAGCCAGCCGUCUAAGGUGGGACAGAUGAUUAGGGUGAAGUCGUAACAAGGUAAC
rnacentral:rRNA from 1 species